CUGACUGGGGGAUGGCUCGGCUCGAGAGCUGAUGAAGGUCGUGACAAGCUGCGAUAAGCUACGGGGAGGCGCAUGAAUGCCUUGGAUCCGUAGAUGGCCGAAUAGGACCUCCUGGCUUUACGAAGUCAUUCCCGUAUUAAUUUACUGGAAAGGGAACCGCCCGAAUUGAAGCAUCUUAGUAGGGCGAGGAA
rnacentral:rRNA from 2 species